rnacentral:rRNA from 1 species
GACGAACGCUGGCGGCGUGCUUAACACAUGCAAGUCGAACGGAAAGGCCCUGCUUUUGUGGGGUGCUCGAGUGGCGAACGGGUGAGUAACACGUGAGUAACCUGCCCUUGACUUUGGGAUAACUUCAGGAAACUGGGGCUAAUACCGGAUAGGAGCUCCUGCUGCAUGGUGGGGGUUGGAAAGUUUCGGCGGUUGGGGAUGGACUCGCGGCUUAUCAGCUUGUUGGUGGGGUAGUGGCUUACCAAGGCUUUGACGGGUAGCCGGCCUGAGAGGGAGACCGGCCACAUUGGGACUGGGAUACGGCCCAGACUCAUACGGGAGGCAGCAGUGGGGAAUAUUGCACAAUGGGCGGAGGCCUGAUGCAGCAACGCCGCGUGCGGGAUGACGGCCUUCGGGUUGUAAACCGCUUUCGCCUGUGACGAAGCGUGAGUGACGGUAAUGGGGAAAGAAGCACCGGCUAACUACGU